AUUGAACGCUGGCGGCAGGCCUAACACAUGCAAGUCGAGCGAGCGGCGGACGGGUGAGUAAUGUAUGGGGAUCUGCCCGAUAGAGGGGGAUAACUACUGUAAACGGUGGCUAAUACCGCAUACUAUCGGAUGAACCCAUAUGGGAAUAGCGAGUAGGUGGGGUAAAGGCUCACCUAGGCGACGAUCCCUCGCUGGUCUGAGAGGAUGAACAGCCACACUGGGAUGUCGACAUGGUCCAGACUCCUACGGGAGGCAGCAGUGGGGAAUAUUGCACAAUGGGCGCAAGCCUGAUGCAGCCAUGCCGCGUGGAUGAAGAAGGCCUUAGGGUUGUAAAGUACUUUCAGCGGGGAGGCGUUACCCGCAGAAGAAGCACCGGCUAACUCCGUGCCAGCAGCCGCGGUAAUUC
rnacentral:rRNA from 1 species